UACACUCCUGCGGGAGGCAGCAGUGGGGAAUAUUGGACAAUGGGCGCAAGCCUGAUCCAGCCAUGCCGCGUGAGUGAUGAAGGCCCUAGGGUUGUAAAGCUCUUUCACCGGUGAAGAUAAUGACGGUAACCGGAGAAGAAGCCCCGGCUAACUUCGUGCCAGCAGCCGCGGUAAUACGAAGGGGGCUAGCGUUGUUCGGAUUUACUGGGCGUAAAGCGCACGUAGGCGGACUAUUAAGUCAGGGGUGAAAUCCCGGGGCUCAACCCCGGAACUGCCUUUGAUACUGGUAGUCUUGAGUUCGAGAGAGGUGAGUGGAAUUCCGAGUGUAGAGGUGAAAUUCGUAGAUAUUCGGAGGAACACCAGUGGCGAAGGCGGCUCACUGGCUCGAUACUGACGCUGAGGUGCGAAAGCGUGGGGAGCAAACAGGAUUAGAUACCCGGGUAGUCCCA
rnacentral:rRNA from 1 species